rnacentral:rRNA from 1 species
AAGACCUUGCGCUUUUGGAGCGGCCGAUGUCUGAUUAGCUAGUUGGUGGGGUAAUGGCCUACCAAAGCUUCGACCAGUAGCUGGUCUGAGAGGACGGCCAGCCACACUGGGACUGAGACACGGCCCAGACUCCUACGGGAGGCAGCAGUGGGGAAUUUUGGACAAUGGGCGCAAGCCUGAUCCAGCCAUGCCGCGUGAGUGAAGAAGGCCUUCGGGUUGUAAAGCUCUUUCAGCCGGGAAGAAAAGGCUGCGACUAAUAAUCGCAGUUCAUGACGGUACCGGAAGAAGAAGCACCGGCUAACUACGUGCCAGCAGCCGCGGUAAUACGUAGGGUGCGAGCGUUAAUCGGAAUUACUGGGCGUAAAGGGUGCGCAGGCGGUUUUGUAAGUCAGAUGUGAAAUCCCCGGGCUUAACCUGGGAACU